AAAUUACUGGCCAAAGCCAACACAUUUACAUUAGAAUUUGCUUGUUUCUUUAUGUUUUAUUCUAAACAAUGACCAUCCCCUGCUGCACUACCUAGCAGCAGGUUACCUGACUCACAGGAGAAGCUUCUAAAGUAAAACACAUACUUCUGAGUCCAUGCAAGCUCAGUUUGCUUUCACCAUCUGAGUGCCAGCUUACACUCAGCCUCAUCGCUGACAUUUAAGAAAGAUAAACAACUGAGCAGCUGGUCUUGGGUACUACUUCAAAACAUUGCUUUGUGGCUGAAGACAAGUGCUAAAAGGGUCAUUUUUUCCUGUCUGAUAACUGAUCUUAAUCUACCCAGAGUAUUGGUUCAGCUGCCAGCUGUGUUUUCAUGUUCUAGCAAACCAAAAUGAGUGGCUGUAACCUCUUCCAAGAAGAUGCCUUUUGCUCAGAGUUUGCAUAUCACAUUAGGGUCACUGACCUGACUGAUGCCUCCAGGAUGAACUCAUCUCCUGGCAACGUCCUUUAGAGAAGGGGGACCUGAAUGAGUAGAAGCGAGAACCAGGAGGACUCUCCCAUCCCCCUGAAUUUCAGUCACUCCUGUCUCUCUGUCUUAAUGAUACAAAGGAAUUCUAAUUAACAAUUGUGUAACAUUUUGACAGCAAAAUAAGGGAUCUUUGUAAAGCUCUCCUGUGGCUCUGAACUCAUUUUCAUGCCAAAAUAUCUGUCUUUCAGAAAAGAAAGAUGCCAAGGAGCUUCAGCUCUGUUGUCUUGUCAGAUACUUUGCUCCUGCUUCGUGAGGGUGAUUUCAUAAGAAGUUUCAUCUUUGUUAUUUAUUUAUUUAUUUUACCUUAAUGAAGAUGAUUGUAUGACAAAGGGGAGGAAGAUAGUGGUGUGUGGGUAGAAAGGAAAAUGUAGGAAAUUGAGAAAAUGUCAGCUCUCUCAAUUUUUCACAUACACACAGAAAUUUUGCACUUCACAAACACUCCAUAAUUAUGGAGAGAUUUUGUAACAUAAAAAUAAACCCUUUAAU
rnacentral:lncRNA from 7 species